rnacentral:lncRNA from 13 species
AAAACGGCGGUCGCCGCGCCCGCCUAGUCCUCAAACGGGGCGACGGCUCGGUGCCUGAAUAUGACAUCUCUGUGAGAGAUGGUUGCUCCCCAUCUCAC